ACAGGCGCCUCAAUAGAAAGAACGUCACUUAAAUUCAUGACGUGAUUUUUACUUUUUAAGCCUUAAGUUUGAACUGCAUCACAAAAUCGGAAUGAGCAUGACGUUUUUUUUUAAUUGUUAAUUAUUUUUUUACGCUUCAACGAUUUGUUCCCUUCUAUUGAUAGUUUCUACCAAAAAUAUACAUUUUAUGGACGUCAUUUUAUGGUGCCUAGGUGUCGCUGUUUUUUGAAUUUAUGUAAAUUCAGAUACAUUCCAAAUUUCGUUAACAGACAAAAGAAUACUCAACUAAGGACUAUUAUAAAAAAGAAUCUGAAGCUAAUUUAUUUAUAUCAAUUGAUUGUGAACUUUGCGCUUCUUUCAGUAUUCGAUCGAUUGUUCAUUUGCAGUAAUGAAGUUCGAUAACAGAGCCAUUUUUCUCAUCAUCAGUUUUUUGACUAUUUUAAAUGGGUCAACAGCAGCUCACUUUCGUGGAACGUGGUCACCCAAUACACCAGCUCAGAACGACCAACCGAAAUGCUACAACACACCAUAUAUCUGCUUCCUCAUGCAACACUACUAUAAAAGAAUUGACCCUGAAUAUGGAAAUGUGCAGCCCUGGAACUUCGGGCACCAAAAGAGAUCUUUCGACACCCUCAAGGACUUCAGUAACAGUUUGAUCAGCAGAGUGAGGAAAGAGAGACUGCUGCAGUAAUUUAUCCUAAGAGUUCAUCACGCUGCCCGUCUUUUUAAUUUUGUCAGGAAGUUAUAUUUGACAGUGAAGUUCAAAUAGUUGAUAAUUUCGCCUCAUGAGAUAAUUGAAGUUUGAAAUUAA